rnacentral:rRNA from 1 species
UACGUAGGGGGCGAGCGUUGUCCGGAUUCAUUGGGCGUAAAGAGCUUGUAGGCGGUUUGUCGCGUCUGCUGUGAAAAUCCGGGGCUCAACCCCGGACUUGCAGUGGGUACGGGCAGACUAGAGUGUGGUAGGGGAGACUGGAAUUCCUGGUGUAGCGGUGAAAUGCGCAGAUAUCAGGAGGAACACCGAUGGCGAAGGCAGGUCUUUGGGCCACUACUGACGCUGAGAAGCGAAAGCAUGGGGAGCGAACAGG